UACAGAGGGUGCGAGCGUUAAUCGGAAUUACUGGGCGUAAAGCGUGCGUAGACGGUUAUUUAAGUCGGGUGUGAAAGCCCCGGGCUCAACCUGGGAAUGGCAGUGGAUACUGGACAGCUAGAGUGCGGUAGAGGGUAGUGGAAUUCCCGGUGUAGCAGUGAAAUGCGUAGAGAUCGGGAGGAACACCAGUGGCGAAGGCGGCUACCUGGACCAGCACUGACACUGAAGCACGAAAGCGUGGGGAGCAAACAGG
rnacentral:rRNA from 1 species